AUCAUACAUCUAUAGAGAAGGGUAACCUUCACCAACCAGCCAAGACUUGGCAACGGUGGUUCAACGAUGUGGCUUUUGAAGCAACAAUAAAGUCAGAU
rnacentral:ncRNA from 10 species